GUCUACGGCCAUGCUACCCUGAACAAGCCCGAUCUCAUCUGAUCUCGGAAGCUAAGCAGGGUUGGGCCUGGUUAGUAUUUGGAUGGGAGACCACCUAGGAAGACCAGGUGCUGUAGGUG
rnacentral:rRNA from 1 species